AAUUCUAUGUCAAUAGUUGCAUCCUAUGAAGAAGACAUGGAGAAAAAUAGAAGUAGAGGAGCAAAUUACAAAAAAAAGAUACACAUCAACCGACAAGCAAGUGAAUAUUGCAUAAUCUUUCUAGCAUCUCAAACCAUAUCAUUUAUUUAUUGUGUCAUAAAACGAGAACUCUAGGACCUAAAUGACCUAUAUGUUGGUGUCAGAUGUCAUCUAAGGAUCCAGAAGCAACCAAACCAUGCAACUGUGUGGUGAAACAAGUCCCUGAGAAAAGGGAUAAUAUAAAUGCUGGGUAAAAUUCCUUUGGGGAUAACAAAGGCUUGAUUGAUGAAAUGAUGGCUUUUACAUUACAUUCAGGUCUCCACACAAGUAUCACCUGUCACUCUCAAAUUUC
rnacentral:misc_RNA from 1 species